GAUGAACGCUGGCGGCGUGCCUAAUACAUGCAAGUCGAGCGAACGGACGAGAAGCUUGCUUCUCUGAUGUUAGCGGCGGACGGGUGAGUAACACGUGGAUAACCUACCUAUAAGACUGGGAUAACUUCGGGAAACCGGAGCUAAUACCGGAUAAUAUUUUGAACCGCAUGGUUCAAAAGUGAAAGACGGUCUUGCUGUCACUUAUAGAUGGAUCCGCGCUGCAUUAGCUAGUUGGUAAGGUAACGGCUUACCAAGGCAACGAUGCAUAGCCGACCUGAGAGGGUGAUCGGCCACACUGGAACUGAGACACGGUCCAGACUCCUACGGGAGGCAGCAGUAGGGAAUCUUCCGCAAUGGGAGAAAGCCUGACGGAGCAACGCCGCGUGAGUGAUGAAGGUCUUCGGAUCGUAAAACUCUGUUAUUAGGGAAGAACAUAUGUGUAAGUAACUGUGAACAUCUUGACGGUACCUAAUCAGAAAGCCACGGCUAACUACGUG
rnacentral:rRNA from 1 species